rnacentral:rRNA from 1 species
GACGAACGCUGGCGGCGUGCCUAAUACAUGCAAGUUGAGCGCUGAAGGUUGGUACUUGUACCGACUGGAUGAGCAGCGAACGGGUGAGUAACGCGUGGGGAAUCUGCCUUUGAGCGGGGGACAACAUUUGGAAACGAAUGCUAAUACCGCAUAAAAACUUUAAACACAAGUUUUAAGUUUGAAAGAUGCAAUUGCAUCACUCAAAGAUGAUCCCGCGUUGUAUUAGCUAGUUGGUGAGGUAAAAGCUCACCAAGGCGAUGAUACAUAGCCGACCUGAGAGGGUGAUCGGCCACAUUGGGACGGAGACACGGCCCAAACUCCUACGGGAGGCAGCAGUAGGGAAUCUUCGGCAAUGGACGAAAGUCUGACCGAGCAACGCCGCGUGAGUGAAGAAGGUUUUCGGAUCGUAAAACUCUGUUGGUAGAGAAGAACGUUGGUGAGAGUGGAAAGCUCAUCAAGUGACGGUAACUACCCAGAAAGGGACAGCUAACUACGUGCCAGCAGCCGCCGUAA